rnacentral:rRNA from 1 species
CCUACGGGCGACAGCAGUGAGGAAUAUUGGUCAAUGGGCGCGAGCCUGAACCAGCCAAGUCGCGUGAGGGAGGACGGCCCUACGGGUUGUAAACCUCUUUUGCCGGGGAGCAACGGGCGUCACGUGUGGCGCCACUGAGAGUACCCGGAGAAAAAGCAUCGGCUAACUCCGUGCCAGCAGCCGCGGUAAUACGGAGGAUGCGAGCGUUAUCCGGAUUUAUUGGGUUUAAAGGGUGCGUAGGCGGAUCGUUAAGUCAGUGGUCAAAUUGAGGGGCUCAACCCCUUCCCGCCAUUGAAACUGGCGCUCUUGAGUGGAAGAGAAGUAUGCGGAAUGCGUGGUGUAGCGGUGAAAUGCGUAGAUAUCAGGAGGAAUACCGUUAGCGAAGGCGGCAAUCUGGCUGGAAACUGACGCUGAGGUGCGAAAGCGUGGGUAGCAAACAGGAUUAGAUACCCCAGUAGUC